GUCUACAGCCAUACCACCCUGAACAUGCCCAAUCUCGUCUGAUCUCGGAAGCUCAGCAGGUUUGGGUCUGGUUAGUACUUGGAUGGGAGACCGCCUGGGAAUAUCGGGUGCUGUAGGCU
rnacentral:rRNA from 1 species